AGAACCCUUCCGUCCUGUCCUCUUCUCUCCUCAGCUCCCCGUGACCUCAUUUCCGGUCUCACUACACGUAUCCGCGGCUACAACAAUGCUAUGUAACUGACCACCCCGGCCGCUCGCUCUCCUGAAUAUGGAAUGGUUGCAGGUCAGCUGACCCGCUGUGGGCGUGGUCAGGCGGCUCUGCUGGUCUCGGCUGGGCCCAUUCACACGUCUGCUCUUCGGCUAGAGGUCAGCAGACCUGGGCUGGCCCGUGGGACUCUGUCCCACCUCACACGUCCCUCCUCUUCUUCUGGGACCCGUGGGCCAUCCCCGGUGUCUCUGGUGACGGUGGUGGCACGAGGCAGAAGCACGGGAGCCAGGUGGGAACGUGCGAGUUACCACUCACAUCUCGUUCGAACCCUGCUUGUAUUUGGGGCACCAGUGGUCAGCAGAAAGCAGCUACUCUCUCCUAGACUGCCUCGCAGUGAGGAGUGGCCCUGUGAUCCAGCUGAAUGCAUGCCUGAUGGGUCCACCAAACCUUCUCUGGGCUCCUGACAGGAUGAGAAGAUGCAUUUUCCUGAUGUUUAAGCCAGUUUGCAUUGGGUUUUCCUGUCCUCGCCUUUGAAUGCAUCUUAAUGAAUACCUGAGCUUUG